UACGGAGGUGGCAAGCGUUGUUCGGAUUUAUUGGGUGUAAAGGGUAUGUAGGUGUCCUGAUAAGUCGAGCGUGAAAUCCCUUGGCUCAACCAAGGAACUGCACUCGAUACUGUCAGGAUUGAGUAUGGAAGAGGAGAGUGGAAUUCCCGGUGUAAGGGUGAAAUCUGUAGAUAUCGGGAGGAACACCAGUGGCGAAAGCGGCUCUCUGGUCCAAUACUGACACUGAAAUACGAAAGCUAAGGGAGCAAACAGGAUUAGAUACCCUGGUA
rnacentral:rRNA from 1 species